AAUGUGACUCUGCAAUCCAGCACUGCAACAAAUAUCUUUUAUUGUAAGCUCUUGCAAACUAAAUGAUGUGGCACACACUGAUCUUUUACAACCAUUGAAUACAUUUCCCCAAAUCAGUUUCCCAUCAAUCUGCAGAAAAGCUUCAGAAGCAGAGCAGAGAUUGAAGGUAUCCAAGCAGGGCAUCACAGGGAUUUAGCUCUGGCUGCUCAAAGCUUUCUCUGUAUCUGAUGCCAAAGCCUGCCUGUCUGAUACAACAGCUGCUGCUCUCAAGGCACACUUUCAAAAGCAAGCAAACAAAAGCAUGUCCCAGGAUCACAUCAUCACUGAAUUGUUGGGGUUUGGAGGGACUUCUCAAGAUCUUCUAGUCCAGACUCCAGGCUCAAGCAGGAUCAGCUAGAGCAGGUUGUCAGGACCAUGUAUUGUUGAGGUUUGAGUAUUGUGAGAUGUGGAGAUCUCCAGACAAGAUCUCUGGGCAGCCUGAGGUGCCCUGGUCACACAGCCUUGCUAAGGAGGUGAGGGACAAGUCAGCUGCACAAUCUCGGGGACAGCUAAGGGGGGAGAGGACUUCUUCCUGAGAGCUCUGUCCUGAGAUGGGCAGCAGAGCAAAGCAGUUGGAAGCUCUGCCCACAUCUUUGUGCCUUUGAGCAGAGGAGGAGGUGGCCUGAGGGACAGAGCUGGAAACACACCAGAGAAUGAAGCAGCACAGACGCUGCACAGAACAUUUGUCCCCCUCUACUCUGCUCUGCUGAGACCCCACCUGCAGUGCUGCCUCCAGCUCUGGGGCCCACAGCACAAGAAGGAUAUGGAGCUCUUGCAGUGGAGUCCAGUGGGGGUCAUGAAGGUUCUCCGGUGGCUGGGAGCAUGUCUGCUCUGGAGAGAGGCUGAGAGAGCUGGGGAUGUUCAGCCUGGAGAAGAGGCCCGAGAGUGCAGUACCUGAAGGGUCUCUAAGAGGGCUGGAGAGGGUCUUUGGACAAGGGCAUGAAAAGGAGUGACAGGACAAGAGGGAAUGGUUUCACACUGAUGGAGGGCAGGGUUAGAUUGGAUAUUAUAAAGAAGUAAAUCACUGUGAACAGGCUGUAAAAGUAGGUAGGAGUAAAAGUUACCUAGUGAUGUUUUGACUGCCCCAUCCCUGGAAG